UACACGACUGGGAUCUAUGGUCUUUUCUUGGUCAGAGGUGCAAAGUCAAGUUCCUAGUGCUCAGAUCUAUUUUUUCUUGCAUACUAGUUCAUUUUCAUUUAGACCCGGAGAGUAAAAUGUUUACUUCUUUAUGCAGAAUUGCAGAUCUUUUUCCCCUGACUCUUUCCCUCUCUGAUAUGUCACCCAGUAGGAUUCAUUUGUGCUGCUGUGGUAAAGAAAUGAAGAAAAACCUUUCCUUAAAUCCCUGUUGCAUUACUACCGAGCAAGCUGAGCGUGAAAACCUAUGUGAUUUAUUGUUGGUGUUGCAGGUUUUGUUGGUGCUCUCGAACAUUUGCUCAUUUGCUUCUGGAAUCAAAUUGCUACUUGUAUCAGGUGCUUGGAUUUUUGGUGCUGUAGGUCCUGCUGGUGUGUAUUUUAGGUUGUUGUAUCUCUUUUCAAUGUAAACAUGAGAUUGUAUCUCUUAUUUUGGGCUGCUAAAAUUUUAUAUGUAUUUUAGGCUGUAAUGAUCAUUCUAGUGUAUGGUAUGAGAAAUUGGAUUGAAUUCUGGUGUAUGGUAUGAGAAAUUGGAUUGAAUUGAUGAGCUCAAUUUUUAA